UACGAAGGGGGCUAGCGUUGUUCGGAAUCACUGGGCGUAAAGCGCACGUAGGCGGACUUUCAAGUCAGGGGUGAAAUCCCGGAGCUCAACUCCGGAACCGCCCUUGAUACAGCAAGCCUUGAGUCCGGAAGAGGUAGGUGGAAUUCCUAGUGUAGAGGUGAAAUUCGUAGAUAUUAGGAAGAACACCAGUGGCGAAGGCGGACUCCUGGCUGAAUACUGACGCUGAGGUGCGAAAGCAUAGGGAGCAAACAGG
rnacentral:rRNA from 1 species